rnacentral:lncRNA from 1 species
AGAAGUUCAGUCACAUGAAGCUGGGGCUUCUGGUAUAGCAGGGGAUAGAGAAGGGAAGAAAGUCAAGCUACCUGAAGUUAGGGCUACUGGUUCAACAGGGGAUAGAAAAGAGAAGAAAGUUAAGUUCCUUGAACCUCCGGCUUCUGGUAUAACAGGGGAUAGAGGAGGGAAGAAAGUCAAGCCACUUGAAGUUGGGGCUUCUGGUACAACAGGGGAUAGAGAAGGGAAGAAAGGUCAGCCACGUGAUGGUGAGGUUUCUGGUGGUAAAACAGCGGAUACAAAAAAGAAGAAAGUUACGUUCCUGUUGCGUACAGACGAGUGACGAGAGGCCUGAAAUCUCAGAUGUUUGCUCCAUGCUUAACAGCAAAACUGGGGACCUACCCAACCCAA